CUCUUAUUGUGUGGUUGGAUUGUGUUUUCACUAACAAAAUGUAGAAGGAGAAAAAGUUCUUGGUUAGGGAGUUCGUUGAUUCCGCAUGGCGGAUUCGUUAGGGCUCCUAAAGUUGUUGAUGACAUUGUGGAAUCUGGCUGCUACUAUUUAUGUAGACGUUAAUUUUGAUGUUGAGAGACUAUGGGUGAUUAUUAAGGAUUUGUUAGAGCCAAUUUACACUCCUGAAGACUUGCUGGUACAAACCCAGCCGGUUAACAACCAAAGAUCUCAUCUGCAUCAAGUUGUUUAAG